AAGAACUUGCUCAAGAAGUUUGCCAAAAAACCAAAAUCCCAUCCAAGAUACCACAUUAGAUUUCAAUGUCAUGUCUUAUUGUAGACUCCUCUUGGUGGUGGUAGUUUCUCAGACCUUCCUUGUUUUUGAUGACCUUGACAGUUUGAAAAGUAGCAGUCAGAAAUAAUGUUUUGGUCUGAAGCUCUUUCUCUACGAUCUCACUUUACUUACAAACCAUCUAAGUUGGAAGUCCUGAUGAAGAAUACCUCAAAGAAAAUUAAGGAAGACCACAUAUGCUUAAGGACCCUGGAUGGCCUUCUCUGUCAAGCAUUCACAAAUUGCAGUGCACCUCCGAUGUGAAGCAAGAUAUCUAUAACCUGAAUUUGUAGCUUUCCAAGGUAUCUCUGACUUUAGACCUCUCAGCCUUCUAUGUAUAUUAGAAGACACCUCUUUUUGCUGAGCAGAAUGAGCACACAGAAGCCAACUUACAGAAGAGCACUGUACAAAUGAAGCAUCUUUUGAUGUCUCAACAGAUCUUGAGUAAUGUGGUGCCAAUACAGUUUGUUCAAGACAAACAAAAUAUAGCUCUAGCUGAGAUUGAUCAGUUACUGACAAUGGUUGACUGUGGACCAUCACAUGAAUAAGACUUUAUACCAAAUGAUUUCAAGGAACUUGUGACUCUGAUCAGUGCAUUGUCAUCUGAUGCCAUGGAAUCUGCUGUGCACUCAGGUCUAUGUGGAAUCAAUCACGGGGUGCUCAACAAGCAAAUCAUGGGAUACAAAAG
rnacentral:lncRNA from 1 species